GGGUUGUGAGGUUAAGCGAACAAGCGUACACGGUGGAUGCCCUGGCAGUCAGAGGCGAUGAAGGACGUGCUAAUCUGCGAAAAGCGCCGGUAAGGUGAUAUGAACCGUUAUAACCGGCGAUGUCCGAAUGGGGAAACCCGGUGCACUUCGGUGCAUCAUCGUUAGCUGAAUACAUAGGCUAACGAAGCGAACCGGGGGAACUGAAACAUCUAAGUACCCCGAGGAAAAGAAAUCAACCGAGAUUCCCCCAGUAGCGGCGAGCGAACGGGGAACAGCCCAGAGCCUGAAUCAGCUUGUGUGUCAGUGGAACGGUCUGGAAAGGCCGGCGAUACAGGGUGACAGCCCCGUACACGAAGGCACACAGGCUGUGAGCUCGAUGAGUAGGGCGGGACACGUGAUAUCCUGUCUGAAGAUGGGGGGACCAUCCUCCAAGGCUAAAUACUCCUGACUGACCGAUAGUGAACCAGUACCGUGAGGGAAAGGCGAAAAGAACCCCGGCGAGGGGAGUGAAACAGAACCUGAAACCGUGUACGUACAAGCAGUGGGAGCCUUCGUAAGAGGGUGACUGCGUACCUUUUGUAUAAUGGGUCAGCGACUUAUAUUCUGUAGCAAGGUUAACCGUAUAGGGGAGCCGAAGGGAAACCGAGUCUUAAUUGGGCGUUAAGUUGCAGGGUAUAGACCCGAAACCCGGUGAUCUAGCCAUGGGCAGGUUGAAGGUUGGGUAACACUAACUGGAGGACCGAACCGACUAAUGUUGAAAAAUUAGCGGAUGACCUGUGGCUGGGGGUGAAAGGCCAAUCAAACCGGGAGAUAGCUGGUUCUCCCCGAAAGCUAUUUAGGUAGCGCCUCGUGAACUCAUCUCCGGGGGUAGAGCACUGUUUCGGCUAGGGGGCCAUCCCGGCUUACCAACCCGAUGCAAACUGCGAAUACCGGAGAAUGUUAUCACGGGAGACACACGGCGGGUGCUAACGUCCGUCGUGAAGAGGGAAACAACCCAGACCGCCAGCUAAGGUCCCAAAGUCAUGGUUAAGUGGGAAACGAUGUGGGAAGGCCCAGACAGCCAGGAUGUUGGCUUAGAAGCAGCCAUCAUUUAAAGAAAGCGUAAUAGCUCACUGGUCGAGUCGGCCUGCGCGGAAGAUGUAACGGGGCUAAACCAUGCACCGAAGCUGCGGCAGCGACGCUUAUGCGUUGUUGGGUAGGGGAGCGUUCUGUAAGCCUGCGAAGGUGUGCUGUGAGGCAUGCUGGAGGUAUCAGAAGUGCGAAUGCUGACAUAAGUAACGAUAAAGCGGGUGAAAAGCCCGCUCGCCGGAAGACCAAGGGUUCCUGUCCAACGUUAAUCGGGGCAGGGUGAGUCGACCCCUAAGGCGAGGCCGAAAGGCGUAGUCGAUGGGAAACAGGUUAAUAUUCCUGUACUUGGUGUUACUGCGAAGGGGGACGGAGAAGGCUAUGUCGGCCGGGCGACGGUUGUCCCGGUUUAAGCGUGUAGGUUGACUUUCCAGGCAAAUCCGGAAAGUUAAGGCUGAGGCGUGAUGACGAGGCACCACGGUGCUGAAGUGACAAAUGCCCUGCUUCCAGGAAAAGCCUCUAAGCAUCAGGUAACAUCAAAUCGUACCCCAAACCGACACAGGUGGUCAGGUAGAGAAUACCAAGGCGCUUGAGAGAACUCGGGUGAAGGAACUAGGCAAAAUGGUGCCGUAACUUCGGGAGAAGGCACGCUGACAUGUAGGUGAAGCCCCUGCGGGUGGAGCUGAAGUCAGUCGAAGAUACCAGCUGGCUGCAACUGUUUAUUAAAAACACAGCACUGUGCAAACACGAAAGUGGACGUAUACGGUGUGACGCCUGCCCGGUGCCGGAAGGUUAAUUGAUGGGGUUAUCGCAAGAGAAGCUCCUGAUCGAAGCCCCGGUAAACGGCGGCCGUAACUAUAACGGUCCUAAGGUAGCGAAAUUCCUUGUCGGGUAAGUUCCGACCUGCACGAAUGGCGUAAUGAUGGCCAGGCUGUCUCCACCCGAGACUCAGUGAAAUUGAACUCGCUGUGAAGAUGCAGUGUACCCGCGGCAAGACGGAAAGACCCCGUGAACCUUUACUACAGCUUGACACUGAACAUUGAGCCUUGAUGUGUAGGAUAGGUGGGAGGCUUUGAAGCGUGGACGCCAGUCUGCGUGGAGCCGACCUUGAAAUACCACCCUUUAAUGUUUGAUGUUCUAACCUGGCGCCAUAAUCUGGCGUGGGGACAGUGUCUGGUGGGUAGUUUGACUGGGGCGGUCUCCUCCCAAAGUGUAACGGAGGAGCACGAAGGUCAGCUAAUCCUGGUCGGACAUCAGGAGGUUAGUGCAAUGGCAUAAGCUGGCUUGACUGCGAGAGUGACGGCUCGAGCAGGUGCGAAAGCAGGUCAUAGUGAUCCGGUGGUUCUGUAUGGAAGGGCCAUCGCUCAACGGAUAAAAGGUACUCCGGGGAUAACAGGCUGAUACCGCCCAAGAGUUCAUAUCGACGGCGGUGUUUGGCACCUCGAUGUCGGCUCAUCACAUCCUGGGGCUGAAGUAGGUCCCAAGGGUAUGGCUGUUCGCCAUUUAAAGUGGUACGCGAGCUGGGUUUAGAACGUCGUGAGACAGUUCGGUCCCUAUCUGCCGUGGGCGCUGGAGAAUUGAGGGGGGCUGCUCCCAGUACGAGAGGACCGGAGUGGACGCAUCACUGGUGUUCGGGUUGUCAUGCCAAUGGCACUGCCCGGUAGCUAAAUGCGGAAGAGAUAAGUGCUGAAAGCAUCUAAGCACGAAACUUGCCCCGAGAUGAGUUCUCCCUGAGACUAUAAGUCUCCUGAAGGAACGUUGAAGACGACGACGUUGAUAGGCCGGGUGUGUAAGCGCAGCGAUGCGUUGAGCUAACCGGUACUAAUGAACCGUGAGGCUUAACCUUACAACGCCAAAGAAGU
rnacentral:rRNA from 1 species